rnacentral:rRNA from 1 species
AGAAUCAACGCUGGCGGCGUGCCUAACACAUGCAAGUCGAACGAGAAAGUGGUAGCAAUACCAUGAGUACAGUGGCGCACGGGUGAGUAACACGUGACUAACCUACCCUGGAGUGGGGGAUAACUGAGGGAAACCUUAGCUAAUACCGCAUAAUACCUACGGGUCAAAGGAGCAAUUCGCUUCAGGAGGGGGUCGCGGCCGAUUAGUUAGUUGGCGGGGUAAUGGCCCACCAAGACAGUGAUCGGUAUCCGGCCUGAGAGGGCGCACGGACACACUGGAACUGAAACACGGUCCAGACUCCUACGGGAGGCAGCAGUGGGAAUUUUGCGCAAUGGGGGAAACCCUGACGCAGCAACGCCGCGUGGAGGAUGAAGUCCUUCGGGACGUAACUCCUUUCGAUCGGGACGAUAUGACGGUACCGGAAGAAGAAGCCCGGCUAACUCGCGCCAGCAGCCGC